rnacentral:rRNA from 1 species
AUGGAUCCAUCGCGGAUCUGGUCUGCGGGUGCGGUCUCGGCCUUCCCUGCUCGGCCGGCGGGUCUCGGUGGGGGAGGGGGGCUUCUCCUUACUGAGAUCUGGCAGUGGGAUUAUCCAGAUCCCGGCAAGGAUGGCGGCGACCCGUGCACGAGAGAUGAAGGUCUUCGAUCAGAUCUGGGUGAAAACCUGCUUUUGGCUAUGGCCAAGGCCGGCGAUGGCGACGCUGUCUGCGUCGUUUCCUUCCUGAAGGCAUCGCCGUGGAGAAGUUCAAGGCCACUCUCUGCUACCUCCGGAGGAAACCCUAGAUCAGUAUAUCGUAUGACGGCGGCUUUCUGGUGUCGUUUCCCCCCUGGGGGCAUCAUUCUUGGAGGUGCACACGGGCUCGAGGGACUAGAGGACGGCGAGUUUGGUGGAGCGGUGCUUCAUCUUGCACAUUGA